AAAUUGAAGAGUUUGAUCAUGGCUCAGAUUGAACGCUGGCGGCAGGCCUAACACAUGCAAGUCGAACGGUAACAGGAAGCAGCUUGCUGCUUUGCUGACGAGUGGCGGACGGGUGAGUAAUGUCUGGGAAACUGCCUGAUGGAGGGGGAUAACUACUGGAAACGGUGGCUAAUACCGCAUAACGUCGCAAGACCAAAGAGGGGGACCUUCGGGCCUCUUGCCAUCAGAUGUGCCCAGAUGGGAUUAGCUAGUUGGUGAGGUAACGGCUCACCAAGGCGACGAUCCCUAGCUGGUCUGAGAGGAUGACCAGCCACACUGGAACUGAGACACGGUCCAGACUCCUACGGGAGGCAGCAGUGGGGAAUAUUGCACAAUGGGCGCAAGCCUGAUGCAGCCAUGCCGCGUGUAUGAAGAAGGCCUUCGGGUUGUAAAGUACUUUCAGCGGGGAGGAAGGUGUUGUGGUUAAUAACCGCAGCAAUUGACGUUACCCGCAGAAGAAGCACCGGCUAACUCCGUGCCAGCAGCCGCGGUAAUACGGAGGGUGCAAGCGUUAAUCGGAAUUACUGGGCGUAAAGCGCACGCAGGCGGUCUGUCAAGUCGGAUGUGAAAUCCCCGGGCUCAACCUGGGAACUGCAUUCGAAACUGGCAGGCUUGAGUCUUGUAGAGGGGGGUAGAAUUCCAGGUGUAGCGGUGAAAUGCGUAGAGAUCUGGAGGAAUACCGGUGGCGAAGGCGGCCCCCUGGACAAAGACUGACGCUCAGGUGCGAAAGCGUGGGGAGCAAACAGGAUUAGAUACCCUGGUAGUCCACGCCGUAAACGAUGUCUACUUGGAGGUUGUGCCCUUGAGGCGUGGCUUCCGGAGCUAACGCGUUAAGUAGACCGCCUGGGGAGUACGGCCGCAAGGUUAAAACUCAAAUGAAUUGACGGGGGCCCGCACAAGCGGUGGAGCAUGUGGUUUAAUUCGAUGCAACGCGAAGAACCUUACCUGGUCUUGACAUCCACGGAAGUUUUCAGAGAUGAGAAUGUGCCUUCGGAAACCGUGAGACAGGUGCUGCAUGGCUGUCGUCAGCUCGUGUUGUGAAAUGUUGGGUUAAGUCCCGCAACGAGCGCAACCCUUAUCCUUUGUUGCCAGCGAUUAGGUCGGGAACUCAAAGGAGACUGCCAGUGAUAAACUGGAGGAAGGUGGGGAUGACGUCAAGUCAUCAUGGCCCUUACGACCAGGGCUACACACGUGCUACAAUGGCGCAUACAAAGAGAAGCGACCUCGCGAGAGCAAGCGGACCUCAUAAAGUGCGUCGUAGUCCGGAUUGGAGUCUGCAACUCGACUCCAUGAAGUCGGAAUCGCUAGUAAUCGUGGAUCAGAAUGCCACGGUGAAUACGUUCCCGGGCCUUGUACACACCGCCCGUCACACCAUGGGAGUGGGUUGCAAAAGAAGUAGGUAGCUUAACCUUCGGGAGGGCGCUUACCACUUUGUGAUUCAUGACUGGGGUGAAGUCGUAACAAGGUAACCGUAGGGGAACCUGCGGUUGGAUCACCUCCUUACCUUAAAGAAGC
rnacentral:rRNA from 1 species